GGGCAAAUGGUGUAGUUGGUUAUCACAUCCGCUUAGCAUCGAGCUGCUUGCGGGGGGUGUCCGGUUCAAUUCCGGAUUUGUCCA